UGGAGGAAAGUUGACCUCAUCAGAGGCACGCCAUUCGACUGAGUGACCUAUCAGCUUGUACUUAGGGUCUUUACCUAGGUAGGCUAUCACGGGUAACGGGCGGUUACCGUCGGACUGCCGGAGAAGGCGCCUGAGAGAUAGCGACUAUAUCCACGGGUAGCAGCAGGCGCGAAACUUUCCCACUCGAGACUUUCGGAGGAGGUAAUGACCAGUUCCAUUGGUGCCUUUUGGUACUGUGGAUAGGGGUACGGUUUUCCACCGUACCGAAACCUAGCAGAGGGCCAGUCUGGUGCCAGCAGCUGCGGUAAUUCCAGCUCUGCGAGUUUGCUCCCAUAUUGUUGCAGUUAAAACGCCCGUAGUCUGAAUUGGCCAGCAAUGGUCGUACGUAUUUUUACGUUCACUGUGAACAAAUCAGGACGCUUAGAGUAUGGCCACAUGAAUGACUCAGCGCAGUAUGAAGUCUUUGUUUUCUUCCGAAAACAAGCUCAAUGAGAGCCAUCGGGGGUAGAUCUAUCUCAUGACGAGUGGUGGAAUACUUUGACUCAUGAGAGAGAAGCUGAGGCGAAGGCGUCUACCUAGAGGGUUUCUGUCGAUCAAGGGCGAGAGUAGGAGUAUCCAACAGGAUUAGAGACCCUGGUAGUUCCUACCUUAAACGAUGCCGACAGGAGUUUGUCAUUUGUUAAUGGCAGAAUCUUUGGAGAAAUCAUAGUUCUUGGGCUCUGGGGGAACUACGACCGCAAGGCUGAAACUUGAAGGAAUUGACGGAAGGGCACACCAGGGGUGGAGCCUGUGGCUUAAUUUGAAUCAACACGGGGAAACUUACCAGGACCAGAUGUUUUUUAUGACUGACAGGCUUCGGGUCUUUCACGAUAUUGUUUUUGGUGGUGCAUGGCCGUUGGUGGUGCGUGGGUUGACCUGUCUAGCGUUGAUUCAGCUAACGAGCGAGAUUAUCGCCAAUUAUUUACUUUGCCGAAGUCUUCGGUUAAAGUUCUAAUUGGGACUCCCUGCGAUUUUAGCAGUGAGAGGUAGCAAUACAGUCGUGAUGCCUUUAGAUGCUCUGGCUGCACGCGUGCU
rfam:Trichomonas vaginalis G3, whole genome shotgun sequence.